rfam:Schistosoma mansoni strain Puerto Rico chromosome W, complete genome
AUCCAGCUGACGAAUCCCAAAUAGGACGAAAUGCGCGUCCUGGAU